UGUGAAGCCAGACUUAUUCAGCAGUUUUCUGGUAAAUUGACAUUUUGUUGGCAUUAAAAAACCCUGAGUAACUGAUUCAUUUCAUGACAACUGAAGUUUGGAUCAUUCCUAGCACAGAUUUCCCCCACCAUAUGAUGAUAUUCUGAGGUAUUUGGCAGUAGUAACUCGCUCUGUCUUGCCAAACAAGAAAACGGUUCUGGUGUGAUGUAAUGAUAUUUUAGGGUUGUGUUAAAUCAAGUCUGAAUGAAGCCAAAUAUACAAGGUGAGAUUGGCACAAGAAAG